rnacentral:rRNA from 1 species
UGGUGGAGUGAUUUGUCUGGUUAAUUCCGUUAACGAACGAGACCUUAACCUAUUAAAUAGUUACAAGAACCUGGAUUUAUCCAAUCGUUCUUGGAUAACUUCUUAGAGGGACUCUUCACGUAAAGAGUGAAUGGAAGUUUGAGGCAAAAACA